UCGUUGGUAACUUACACGCCGCUGUAUCUUAUGCGUUGUAGUGUUUUUGUUUUGAUGGUGUUAAUUUAAUGCUGUAUUCAAUGGAAUGAACAACAGCUAUGGAGACAGAAGCACUUCCCAUCGUCAACAGAACCACACUCUCACAUUCUCUACUUUGAAAUAACUUCGCUGCUAGGGUUUCUCCACUCAAGCACAGUACGUCGUCUUCCACCACAGAUCCAAUCGGUGAAUUUUCUCUUUUCACCGUUCAAAUCAGCCUCUCCUCCGAUUCAGCCUCUCUCUCACCGAAUCUCAACCUUUUCCACCGAUUAGAACCCUUCCUACCUCGAACCCUAACCUUUUUACCGAUUGAAACCCAAAACCUAGGUUUCUCUCCGAUUCCGGUCUUCCGUUGCGUCUAUUGUUCGUUUCUCUGCUCGCUCUGCGUCAGAUCUAAGGUUCCUCGCCUGGAUGGAACUCAUCAGUUUUAGUAGCCAUUAAUAUUUGUUUUGUCCCAUUUGAGGACGAACAAAACAUAUACGAGAUUGUUCUUUUUUUCUUGUUUAAAAGAUGUCAGCUUUGAUUUCGUCUAGUUUUCUACUGCUUGUUAGUGAGUCACUCCACUUGAGAAGGGCUUUGGCCGCUUCUAGAUCUGUUUUAUUGCACACUAGUGUGAAGUGUAUGAGCCUGGUGGAACCUAGUCAUGGUUCCCUCACUCUCUCUAGCAUAGGUUUCCAAACUGAAACUGAAGCUGAUAACAGAAGCAAAUCUAAUAAGGUUAAGCUAUUUGGUUCACCCAGUGAGAAUCUCGAGAGCAAAGGAAAGCCCAUUGACACUAUUGAAAAGAAGAAGAAAGCAUUUAAGGUUGUAGAAAAACAACAAAUGGAGUUUGCCCCUUUUGCUGCAAAGUCAUUUUCAGAACUUGGGCUCUCACAUGUGUUGAUUGAGAGGCUAGAGAAGGAGGGUUUUACUGUUCCGACUGAAGUUCAGUCUGCUGCAGUUCCCUCCAUUCUGAACAACCGUGAUGUCAUAAUUCAGUCUUACACUGGUUCAGGGAAGACACUAGCUUAUCUGCUUCCUAUUCUCUCGGUUGUUGGACCGCUGAGGGUGAAAGGUGAUGAUGGUGAUGAGAAUGGGAAGAAGUUAGGAAUCGAAGCAGUGAUUGUUGCUCCUUCUAGAGAGCUUGGAAUGCAGAUAGUAAGGGAGUUUGAGAAGGUGCUAGGAAUGGAUAACAAGAGAGUGGUUCAGCAACUUGUGGGGGGUGCGAAUCGAACGAGACAAGAAGACGCUCUCAAGAAAAACAAACCUGCAAUUGUUGUUGGCACACCUGGUAGGAUAGCAGAGCUGAGUGCAUCUGGGAAACUUCGCACUCAUGGAUGUCGAUAUUUGGUGUUGGAUGAAGUUGAUGAGCUCUUGUCUUUCAAUUUCCGUGAAGACAUGCACCGGAUAUUGGAGCAUGUAGGGAGGAGAUCAAGUGCAGACCCAAACUCAAAUUCGGCAAAGACUGAGCGUCAGUUAAUCAUGGUUUCUGCAACUGUGCCCUUUUCUGUUGUAAGGGCUGCUAGAAGCUGGGGUUGCGACCCUCUUCUAGUCCAAGCUAAGAAAAUUGUCCCACUUGAAACUUUCUCUCCCUCUGAUCCUGUCACUCUAUCCCGGUCUUCGCCGAGCUCAGCUAUGCCAUCUCAAGCAGCUGUGGAGAGUCUGCCUCCUGCUCUGAAACACUACUACUGUGUGACAAGGUUGCAACACAAAGUUGAUGUGUUGAGAAGGUGUAUUCAUGCACUGGAUGCCAAAUAUGUGAUAGCUUUCAUGAACCACACUAAACAGCUAAAGGAUGUUGUCUUCAAGCUGGAGGCCCGUGGAGUGAAAGCUGUGGAGUUACAUGGGGAUCUAGGGAAGCUUGCUAGGUCAACAACCCUGAAGAAAUUCAAGAACGGUGAGGUGAGAGUUCUGGUGACAAAUGAAUUGUCUGCAAGAGGGUUGGAUGUGGCAGAAUGUGAUCUUGUGGUUAAUCUUGACUUGCCAACAGAUUCAAUUCAUUAUGCACACCGGGCUGGCCGAACUGGUCGGCUUGGUAGGAAUGGUACAGUGUUAACCAUAUGUGAAGAACCAGAAGUGUUUGUUGUGAAGAAAUUGCAGAAGCAGCUGGGAAUUCCAAUUGCAUCAUGUGAUUUUUCAGAGGGGAAACUACUCAUCACUGAAGAAGAGAAAACAUUAAGCACUUCUACAAGUUGAGGCCAAAGGAGCUAGUAUUGGGGAUAUUUUUAUUAUAUCAGAUUGUGCUUUUCAUGACAGAAGAAUCCCAAUACCUGGUUUCGAUCUGUUUGGAGUUGGUUUACGUAAAGCCUUUGAUACACCAAACCUUACAAAGGAGCUGAAUCUAAAGUCAGUCUAAUAUGCAAUCAGGGAACGAAGAAAGCAAACCAUUUUAUGCCAAUGCAAAAAAAAUUGUCUAGCUUCUGCCAAGUUGUUGGCCUUUACUUUGUUCAGGUGGGUAAAUUGUCUACCGGUGACUCUUUAGACAUGACACUGCAGGAUGAAUCAUUAAUCAUGGCAAAUGAUGCGACAGUUAUAGAUAUGGAGGCUUAACUCCCAGUUUCAACAUUUUCUUCCAGGGAGCAGCUAUUGCUUAUGUUGCUGACCUUCUGAAAGUUCCUGCAAUUUUUGUAAAAGCUGUAACUAAUAUCGUUGAUGGUGACAAACCGAUUGUAGAAGAAUUCCUGGAGAAUUUGGCAGCAGUAGCUGAUGCACUUGACCCGGCUGUUGAACAAGUUAUUAAUUUUAUUAAUGGAAAAUCGUUAUCUGAACUUUGACAAGCAAAUUUCACCUUCCAAGUCGUUGUAUAUUCAAUCAUGGUGGGCUUCAGCUAGAACACUCGUUAUUGAUUAGGAAUUUGUUUGAAACUUUAGAAAAAUUAAACCCAGUAUAAACUGAAGAUAUUGCAACCCUUCCUCCUUUCUCUCUGUCGUAC